UACGUGAGGAGGCAAGCGUUGUCCGGAAUUACUGGGCGUAAAAGCGCGUGUAGGUGGUGGGACAAGUCUGCUGUGAAAGCGCCUGGCUUAACCGGGCGAGGUCGGCGGAAACUGUCCGACUCGAGGACGGUAGAGGGGGGUGGAAUUCCCGGUGUAGUGGUGAAAUGCGUAGAGAUCGGGAGGAACACCUGUGGCGAAGGCG
rnacentral:rRNA from 1 species